rnacentral:lncRNA from 1 species
CGCCUGCACGUCAGGAGCUUCAGCUGGCAUGGGGCGUGAUGACUGUGCUGGCCUAUAGGGCAACCCCCAGUAAAUUUGGAGGACAAUAUAGACCAGCAUCCCAGCGUUUCUCUAAGGACCAUGGUCUAAAAACCAUGCCCCAUGAGGGAGACCUGGGAUGCAGAGAUGCACGCUUUCUCCAGCUCCCAGUCUCUGACUUGAGCCCUGCAGGGGGGCACGCACAGAGCCCGGGGUCCCUCUGCAUUCCCUGCCGUGAUGGUGGGGUGGGAGGAAGCCCUAGGGGCUGGGAGUCCUGGAGACCCAUAGAGGACAGAAAAGGGCAUGAACUGGACCAGUGAAUACUGCGGGGACAGCGUCUGCAGCAGGGAGGUGUUCCUGAGAGUUUACAAGUCCCUCGUCGCCCUGUCUCUCAUGGCACACCCAGAGCCUGGGAGUCAAGCCAGAGUGGCUGUGCAAAGCCAUGCCUGCAAUCACUGUGGCUGUUUCUCUGGAAUCCAGAUGAAAAUGAUCUACAGGCAGGAGUGAGACUCGGGGCAGGAGAAUGGUUUGAGGACACAAAGCUCUGGUGUCCUGGUGAACAACAAGAUCUGGUCAACUGCUUUGCCUACAAGAACCUUCUGAAGAACAAUUCUGGUGUUGGAUGUAUGAGAGAUUGAUGAAUCGUGAAUAAGAUGCACAGCAGGUAAAACAAAACGAAAACAGCCACGAGGGAGCUGUCCCCGCACCUCCACCACAAUGGCAGGGGCAGCAGCGAACCCAGCAAGGAUCCCCUGCGUGCAGUGGCUGCUCAGAGACUUGCGGCUGCCUCUGUCUGAAGGUCUGGCUACUGGAGGAGUUCUAGGAUGGGGAGAGGGUCCAGGAUCAGGUCGAGCAUUCCUCAUUGCUGGCCCAGGCAUGAGGUAGCUCACACUUCUGCAGCCUGGAAAAAGAGUGGAUUUGGGCUGCGCACAUGGCACUGGCUACAGCUUCUGGCCCAGCUCUGGGUCUUUGGGGACUGAGUCAAGAGGAGCCCGCAUGGGCUCGGCGUUUCCCAUGGGCCUGACACGGCCUUGUUUCAUUUCAUUCACUAAAUGACGGUGCUUGGCAGGAGCACCACCGUCCUCCUCUUACAGAUGAGCUCAGUGCUGCCUCAUGAUGCACUCAGAUGCGUUCUGCAGCAGUCGGUGUGGACAUGGGGCAGCUGCCUCUGGAGUGCACCCAACUCACACCAGACUCUCCUGCCCUCGAUCCCAUGGGAGGUCCAAAUGGCCCCGUCCAAACAGUGACCCCAGGCCACAGAGCAGCCCAAUCUUGUCCAAUUUGGAUGAUUCUAGGAAGAUUUCCAAACAAGAAAAAAAAAUGUUUCGAGCCCAAACUGAAGGAGAUGGCAAAAGACACAAAGUAAUGAAGUGGGAGCCAAAACGGUUUUCUUUUCCUCCACUGAAUAUUUUUCAUUUGGUAUCGGAUGUUCUUUAAAGGUCAAAUGUUACUAUUGCUCAUUUCCUCCUCAGCUAAUCAAGUAUUACGCAGUGGCUUAAGGUCACAAGCGUGAGUUACUGAUGAAAAUAAAAGCCUGUUCUUGAUUUUGUAAGGGAAACCCACGAUUUGAGUACACGCCUGUAGAAACUACUUUAUGUUCAGGGCAAGCAUGUUCCGCACGUAUUUGAAUUUGGGCAGAUGAUGUUAUCUCAGGUCAAGGAUUUUGAGUGCAAUCUAUGAACACUAUGUACAAGGGCCGCCCUCACCAGUGCCAAUCUAGGUGGGAUGGUAUUGAUAGGAAAGGCAGGCGUUUGCAUCCUGACCAAGGCAGACACUGAGUUCUGCAAAAGGACCAAUAAGUU